rnacentral:rRNA from 1 species
UACGGAGGAUGCAAGCGUUAUCCGGAUUUACUGGGUUUAAAGGGUGCGUAGGCGGCUUUGUAAGUCAGUGGUGAAAGCUCCCGGCUUAACUGGGAAAUUGCCAUUGAUACUGCUUAGCUUGAGUACAGUUGAGGUAGGCGGAAUAUGUCAUGUAGUGGUGAAAUACUUAGAUAUGACAUAGAACACCGAUUGCGAAGGCAGCUUGCUAAACUGUAACUGACGCUGAGGCACGAAAGCGUGGGGAGCAAACAGG